rfam:Pasteurella multocida subsp. multocida str. Anand1_buffalo contig1685, whole genome shotgun sequence.
GAUUACCUGAGGUGUUUGCCAGUGGGUUAUGUCCCUGAGCCGAUACUUUUAUUUUAUGAAUCGGUUUCUAAUUGUUGGUGUGCAUGCUUAGCUUGACUAAGAAGCCUAAAAAUAGUUAUAACUGAUUCCCUUGAACCGUUGGGUUCAAGGACUGAGACUUGCAGCGGCAUCUCGGGUUCUUC